rfam:Dipodomys ordii contig_1309, whole genome shotgun sequence.
GUAUUGCUCACUUCAGCAGUACAUAUACUAAAAUUGGAACAAUACUGAGGAGAUUUGCCUGUCCCUUGUGCAAGGAUGACACAGACACUCAUAAAAAUUUCCAUAUUCUU